rnacentral:misc_RNA from 1 species
AACGCACAUUGCGCCCCCUGGUAUUCCGGGGGGCAUGCCUGUUCGAGCGUCAUUACACCACUCAAGCCUCGCUUGGUAUUGGGCGAGGGGGCCGUACCGCCCCCCGCCUCGAUUUCUCCGGCUGGACCGUCCGAUUCUCAGCGUUGUGGCAACAAUGUUCGCUGGCGAAGAGGGCGGCGCACGCCGUAAACCUCCCAUCAAAGGUUGACCUCGGAUCAGGUAGGGAUACCCGCUGAACUUAA